rnacentral:rRNA from 1 species
UGAUAGGAGCGGGCUGGCGGCCGCGGGAAUAAGGAGGGGACGAGCGUGAAUGGGAGUAACUGUGAGUGAAGCGGGCGUAGAGGGACUGGUCAGUAAGCCGUGAAAGCCUCGCGCGCAACCUGGGAACGGCGGUUGAGACGGCCCGUCUCGAGUGGGCUAGCGGAUCGUGGGAUUCCGGGUGUAGCGGCGAAAUGCGUAGAGAUCCGGAGGAACACCGAUGGCGAAGGCAGCGAUCUGGGGCCACACUGACGCUGAGGCACGAAAGCGUGGGGAGCAAACAGGAUUAGAUACCCCCUUAGUC